AAAAAGGGCUUCUGUCAUGUAUGGCACAUGUAGGGCCCCUUGGUUGCUCUUCGUGAGAAAUCAACAUCAAGAGAUUUCAGAAGUAUAAGUUUUGUCACUAGGACAGCUGGUGAUUGAUGGGAAAAAAAAUGGGAAACGAUAUGAUCCUAGAUGCAGAAAAACCAUUUGUAAAAUUUCAGUGCCCAU